GAGUGGCAGCCGCACAAGAAGUCUGGCGCCUGAAAUAAUGUGGCAUGGCCCUUCUGAGCUGUUCUGAAAAAGAACCGUUUGCUGGAAGAGAGAUGGUUAAUACAAGGAAAAGAGAAGAGAAGAGGAAGCCAGUUUGUGACUACCAGCAAGUCAGCUACCCCAUGCCACCUUCUCAG